rnacentral:rRNA from 2 species
AUAUCAAUAAGCGGAGGAAAAGAAACCAACAGGGAUUGCCCCAGUAACGGCGAGUGAAGCGGCAUCAGCUCAAAUUUGAAAUCUGGCGUCUUCGGCGUCCGAGUUGUAAUUUGUAGAGAGUGUCUCGGGUGGAGCACCGGUCCAAGUCCCUUGGAACAGGAUAUCAUAGAGGGUGAGAAUCCCGUAUCCGGCCGGCCCCCUCCCCCGCUGUGAGGCCUCUUCGACGAGUCGAGUUGUUUGGGAAUGCAGCUCUAAAUUGGAGGUAAAUUCCUUCUAAAGCUAAAUACUGGCCAGAGACCGAUAGCGCACAAGUAGAGUGAUCGAAAGAUGAAAAGCACUUUGAAAAGAGAGUCAAACAGUACGUGAAAUUGUUGAAAGGGAAGCGUAUGCGGCCAGACUUGUCCCCAGUUGCUCAGCCCGUCUUUUGGCGGGUGUACUCUUCUGGGGCCAGGCCAGCAUCGGUUUGGGCGGUCGGAUAAAGACGUCAGGAAUGUGGCCCCCCUCGUGGGGUGUUAUAGCCUGGCGUG